GUUUGUGGAACUGUUUAUCAACAGGUUUGUGCCAGAAAGUUUUAGAGAUCAAAAGCAGUGAGCCUUUGAGGCCUAAAGGCAGAAUGGCAGAUCUGUAGAUGAAUAUGCUACAAAAUUUCUGGAACUGAGCAAGUAUGCCCCUACAGUAGUGGCUACAUAAAGUAUGAAGGUAAAAAGAUUCAUAAAGAGGCUAGACAAGAGGUAUGCAAACCUGGCUAUGAUGUCUGAUCAGUAUUUUGAUAUGGUAGUUGAUCGAGCUUGACAGAUUGAGAUUAGCUAUACAGGAGAUGACAGUGGAAGAGCGAAAAAAAAUAGAGCAGAA
rnacentral:misc_RNA from 1 species